rnacentral:lncRNA from 1 species
UCCGUAUCAAAUAGAAAUGCAGGCGACUGAGUGUACCCAUACGGUUCAUUCAUUUGCAAAGUAGGCUCCGAGGCAUAAUACUGACUAUCUGAAACCUUCAGUACUGGCUCACUGGCAGACCUAGGAAGCCUCAUUGUGGGACGCACAACAUAUAUGGGAGUUUCAUGUGGUGGUGGAGCCACGAAUACCGGUGUGAUCGGUGGCGCUGGCUGAGCAGUGNNNNNNN